rnacentral:rRNA from 1 species
CGCCCAACAGCUAGCCCACAAACACAACAACAACCAACCACUAUUUAUAACCCCAAAUACACGAGUGUUUUAAUUAAACAAACCAUUUUUCCCCUUUAGUAUGGGCGACAGAAAAAGGACCUAGGAGCAAUAGAGAAAGUACCGCAAGGGAUUGCUGAAAGAGAAAUGAAAAAACCCAGUGAAGCCAAGUAAAGCAGAGAUUUACCCUCGUACCUUUUGCAUCAUGAUUUAGCUAGCGUGACCCAAGCAAAGAGUGCUUUAGUUUGACACCCCGAAACUAGGGGAGCUACUCCAAGACAGCCUAUUUAUAGGGCGAACCCGUCUCUGUGGCAAAAGAGUGGAAUGAGCUUUGAGUAGAGGUGAUAAACCUACCGAACCUAGUUAUAGCUGGUUGCCCGGGAAUUGGAUAGAAGUUCAGCCCCCCAGAUUCUUUAUUCAAAUCAGUAUUACCCCACCUGAUAACACAAGAAGCUGUGAGAGUUAUUCAAAGGGGGUACAGCCCCUUUGAAACAAGAUACAACUUUCCCGGGAGGAAAAAGAUCAUA